rnacentral:tRNA from 1 species
AAGGGAGACCUAAUUCCGGUAGGAGACGAAAAAAAAGUAGUCCCAACCAAGAAUCAAUCCCAAAAGGUCGGAACGAGGUAUGAGGCUUUCAAACUAGGUCCUGGGUUCAUAAAAGACCUGAAUCAGGAACAAGGGCUAUUAGCUCAGGUGGUUAGAGCGCACCCCUGAUAAGGGUGAGGUCCCUGGUUCGAGUCCAGGAUGGCCCACCUGCACAGGUGGCAAAAACAAGAGAAGCUCCGAAUCAGCACCUUAUCUUAUAUACAUAUAUAAGAGAGAAUGCUGGCUCUGAGUACAGAGUCCAGAGGAACCUUGAAAACUGCAUAGAGCUAGGUGAAAAAGCCAAAAAAGAAGACCGCAA